CAAGAACUCCUCUACAUCUUCAACAUUUUGUAGAGCAUUCCCUGCUAUGUGGAAAAUUCUGCUGGGCUAUUCCCUGAGGACACCUCUACCUUUUGUGUCCGGAAUUGGUGGGUUCUUGGUCUCACUGACUUCAAGAAUGAAGCCACGGACCCUCACGGCUCAAGCAUAUCUGAAUCGAGAAAAGCAGACAUGAUUGAAGCGCAUUUAUCUCCACUAAUUAAGAGGCUUAUGCCAGGCUGAGCUGAGAUUUUAACACCAGAUGAGCCUCCAUUUCAUCCCCCUACACCUGGAGAAGCUCCUGUGGGAGGAAGACUCAUGGAGACACUUUAAACUGGAAGCAAGAGACCCCAGGGAAGAAUGUUCUUAGGCAGAGGGAACAUAACAUGCUAACAUGCUAUGAGGGG